GCCCUCGGUGGUUCAGGUGGCUAGAGCGUCUGCCAAGUAAGCAGGAGAUCCUGGGUUCGAGUCCCGGUCGGGGCA
rnacentral:tRNA from 1 species